CUUUAUUGGAGAGUUUGAUCCUGGCUCAGGACGAACGCUGGCGGCGUGCCUAAUACAUGCAAGUCGAGCGGACUUGAUGGAGUGCUUGCACUCCUGAAGGUUAGCGGCGGACGGGUGAGUAACACGUAGGCAACCUGCCCUCAAGACUGGGAUAACUACCGGAAACGGUAGCUAAUACCGGAUAAUUUAUUUUGCAGCAUUGUGAGAUAAUGAAAGGCGGAGCAAUCUGUCACUUGAGGAUGGGCCUGCGGCGCAUUAGCUAGUUGGUGGGGUAACGGCUCACCAAG
rnacentral:rRNA from 1 species